rnacentral:rRNA from 1 species
GUAGGUGGCAAGCGUUGUCCGGAUUUACUGGGCGUAAAGAGCGCGCAGGCGGUCGAUUUAGUCGUGUGUGAAAGCCCCCGGCUCAACUGGGGAGGGUCACGCGAUACUGAUCGACUCGAAGGCAGGAGAGGGUAGUGGAAUUCCCGGUGUAGUGGUGAAAUGCGUAGAUAUCGGGAGGAACACCAGUGGCGAAGGCGACUACCUGGCCUGUUCUUGACGCUGAGGCGCGAAAGCUAGGGGAGCAAACGGGAUUAGAUACCCCGGUAGUCCUAGCCGUAAACGAUGGACACUAGGUGUUGGUGGUAUCAACCCCGCCAGUGCGGAAGCUAACGCAUUAAGUGUCCCGCCUGGGGAGUACGGCCGCAAGGCUA